rnacentral:rRNA from 1 species
UGGGGAAUUUUUCGCAAUGGGCGCAAGCCUGACGAAGCAACGCCGCGUGGAGGAUGAAGGCCUUCGGGUCGUAAACUCCUGUCGACCGGGACGAAAGCAGUCCGGCUGAUAACUCCGGGCUGUUGACUGUACCGGUGGAGGAAGCCACGGCUAACUCUGUGCCAGCAGCCGCGGUAAUACAGAGGUGGCAAGCGUUGUUCGGAAUUACUGGGCGUAAAGGGCGCGUAGGCGGUUCGGUAAGUCCUGUGUGAAAUCCCUCGGCUCAACUGAGGAACUGCACGGGAGACUGCCGGGCUUGAGUUCGGGAGAGGGAAGCGGAAUUCCGGGUGUAGCGGUGAAAUGCGUAGAUAUCCGGAGGAACACCGGUGGCGAAGGCGGCUUCCUGGACCGACACUGACGCUGAGGCGCGAAAGCUAGGGGAGCAAACGG